rnacentral:rRNA from 1 species
UACGUAGGUGGCAAGCGUUAUCCGGAAUUAUUGGGCGUAAAGAGCGCGCAGGUGGUUGAUUAAGUCUGAUGUGAAAGCCCACGGCUUAACCGUGGAGGGUCAUUGGAAACUGGUCGACUUGAGUGCAGAAGAGGGAAGUGGAAUUCCAUGUGUAGCGGUGAAAUGCGUAGAGAUUCAAAGGAACACCAGUAGCGAAGGCGGCUUUCUGGACCAUAACUGACGCUGAGGCACGAAAGCGUGGGGAGCAAACAGGAUUAGAUACUCCCGUA